UCCACCUCAGUGAGGAGACGCAUGUGACAACACUUUGCACCGUCAAAGAUAAUCAAGAUCUUUGCCAAUUUUAGUUAUUGAACUACAGGGAACUCAAGUUUCUGAGACCUUUGCACAUGGACCUCUACCCACGCUGCAGUGAGGAGAGAAGGUAGUUUGAGCGAGUAACUUCAAUAUCCUUCCUAUGGAAAAUUGUUUUUCCAUGCUUCUUCUGGAGGCCUUGGAGUAGUGGUAUUUGUGCCCAGGGCAGAGCAGGGUGUGGAGAUGGAGCCGGAAUCAUGACCCGGGCUUCCUUGACCAAACAUUUCAAGCAAGUAAGGGCAAGGACUGUGUCAUCUUCAUCUUCGUCUUUCCCGGGCCCAGCAGCAGCUCCCACAGAGCAAGUGCUCCUUGCAGAAACUGCUAGCUGCCUACUUCAGCCUUGGUCAUGAUCCUGUUUCAGGUAGCAACACACCCAUCUAAAAGACUACAUUUCCCAGAUUCCUUUGUAGCUAGGUGUGCCCAUGUGAUUAAGUUCAGGCCAUGAUAAAUGGAGGUAUUAUGCGGCACUUCCAGGGAGGCCCCCCUAAAGUGGAAGGGAAAUGCCUUUUUCACUCUUCCUCUUUCCUUCUACCUGGAAUGCAAAUGUGACUGCUGGAGCUUGAGAGCCCUGUGGAACAAUCAGGGAUCUAGAGUCCCCAUGCCCAGAAAGGCUCCAUACUUACCCUGAUUUCCCAAUUUACAGACUUCUUUUACCUCAGAAAUAGAACAUUUCUAGCUUUUUCCCCUGUUAUAUGCGGCCACACAUAAUCCUGACUGAUUCAGUACAAUAAAUGUUUGGUGAAUGUGGA